rnacentral:lncRNA from 1 species
GGUUGCUUCAGUGAACAUUCAACGCUGUCGGUGAGUUUGGAAUUCAAAUAAAAACCAUCGACCGUUGAUUGUACCCUAUAGCUAACCAUCAUCUACUCCAUGGCCCUCUGCGUUUGCUGAAGACAGAACCGCAAAGCAGGACCCGACAGGAUUCUCCCCGCCUCUUCAGAGACUAUGUUUACAAAGGUCACAAUCAACAUUCAUUGCUGUCGGUGGGUUGAACUGUGUAGAAAAGCUCACUGAACAAUGAAUGCAACUGUGGCC